rnacentral:rRNA from 1 species
UGGGCAACCUGCCCUUAGCUCUGGGAUAACCCCGGGGAAACCGGGGCUAAUACCGGAUAUGAGUUCGUGCGGCAUCACACGGACUGGAAAGUUUUUCGGCUAAGGAUGGGCUCGCGGCCUAUCAGCUUGUUGGUGGGGUAAUGGCCUACCAAGGCGACGACGGGUAGCCGGCCUGAGAGGGCGACCGGCCACACUGGGACUGAGACUCGGCCCAGACUCCUACGGGAGGCA